rnacentral:rRNA from 1 species
AGCUCCAAUAGCGUAUAUUAAAGUUGCUGCAGUUAAAAAGCUCGUAGUUGCAUUUCCAAGGCAAGGGAUUAGUCCGACCUUUGGUGGGUAUUUAAUCCUCUUGCCUCGUCCUUGAGUGGUGCUUCUUGGUAUUAAGUUAUCGAGGAGAUAGCCGCUCAUCGUUUACUGUGAGAAAAUUAGAGUGUUCAAAGCAGGCUUAUGCCGUUGAAUAUAUUAGCAUGGAAUAAUAAGAUAGGACCUCGGUACUAUUUUGUUGGUUUGAGAACCAAGGUAAUGAUGAAUAGGGACAGUUGGGGGUAUUCGUAUUCAGUUGUCAGAGGUGAAAUUCUUAGAUUUACGGAAGACGAACUACUGCGAAAGCAUUUGCCAAGGAUGUUUUCA